rnacentral:scRNA from 1 species
AAAGGGGAGGGGGAGAGCAGCAUGAAAUGUGA